UCCUACGACCAUAUCACCCAGAAUGCGCCCGAUCUCGUCUGAUCUCGGAAGCUAAGCAGGGUCGAGCUUGGAUAGUACUUGGAUGGGAGACUGCCUGGAAAUACCAGGUGUUGUAGGCU
rnacentral:rRNA from 1 species